AAACUUGCUCAGCUUUAUGGUGCAUUUAAAUAGCUAAUAGGGAAACCGGUUUAAUUCCGGUACGGACCCGCCGCUGUAUUCGGGGACGAAAUCUGCAAAAACCACUGUCCGGCACACAGACGUCUGGGUGCCGGGUGGGAAGGUGCAGAGAGUAGAACGAUCCGUAAGUCAGAAGACCUGCCAUAGAGUUUAGUAUUGG
rnacentral:ncRNA from 2 species